rnacentral:rRNA from 1 species
UACGAAGGGGGCUAGCGUUGCUCGGAAUUACUGGGCGUAAAGGGCGCGUAGGCGGAUAUUUAAGUCAGGGGUGAAAGCCCGGGGCUCAACCCCGGAAUUGCCUUUGAUACUGGAUAUCUUGAGUUCGGGAGAGGUGAGUGGAAUGCCGAGUGUAGAGGUGAAAUUCGUAGAUAUUCGGCGGAACACCAGUGGCGAAGGCGACUCACUGGCCCGAUACUGACGCUGAGGCGCGAAAGCGUGGGGAGCAAACAGGAUUAGAUACCCUGGUAGUCCACGCCGUAAACGAUGAGUGCUAGUUGUCGGCAUGCAUGCAUGUCGGUGACGCAGCUAACGCAUUAAGCACUCCGCCUGGGGAGUACGGUCGCAAGAUUAAA